rnacentral:rRNA from 1 species
AGUUGUAGAAUCACUGGUGAAUAAGGGGUGGGCAAGUUCUGGUGUCAGCCGCCGCGGUAAAACCAGCACCUCGAGUGGUCAGGAGGUUUAUUGGGCCUAAAGCAUCCGUAGCCGGUUGCAUAAGUUUUCGGUUAAAUCUAUGCGCUUAACGUAUAGGCCGCCGAAAAUACUGUGCAGCUAGGGAGUGGGAGAGGUACACGGUACUCGAUAGGAAGGGGUAAAAUCCUUUGAUCUAUUGAUGACCACCUGUGGCGAAGGCGGUGUACCAGAACACGUUCGACGGUGAGGGAUGAAAGCUGGGGGAGCAAACCGGAUUAGAUACCCGGGUAGUCCCAGCUGUAAACGAUGCAGACUCGGUGAUGCAUUGGCUUGUGGCCAAUGCAGUGCCGCAGGGAAGCCGUUAAGUCUGCCGCCUGGGAAGUACGUACGCAAGUAUGAAACUUAAAGGAAUUGGCGGGGGAGCACCACAAGGGGUGAAGCCUGCGGUUCAAUUGGAGUCAACGCCAGAAAUCUUACCUGGGGAGACAGCAGAAUGAAGGUCAAGCUGAAGACUUUACCAGACACGCUGAGAGGUGGUGCAUGGCCGUCGCCAGCUCGUGCCGUGAGAUGUCCUGUUAAGUCAGGUAACGAGCGAGACCCCUGCGUCUAGUUGCUACCAUUACUCUCUGGAGCAGUGGAGCGAAUUAGACGGACCGCCACAGUUAAUGUGGAGGAAGGAAGGGGCCACGGCAGGUCAGUAUGCCCCGAAACCCUAGGGCUACACGCGGGCUGCAAUGAUAUUGACAAUGUGUUCCGAAUCCGAAAGGAGGAGGCAAUCAUCAAAC